AAAAAACAACAGGCAAAAAGUCCAUAAAACACCAAAAGGCAACUGCAAAGUAAAACCAUUUCAAGCACGAAUGCAAAAGAAUGUUGAAUGAAAAGCUGCCUGAAACCACCCAAUUGAGCAAAUUUCAAAUAGCAAAUAGUAUAACAGGAUGUCCCUAUAUGCAAAGUCCAUAACUCUCAAAAACCAUCAAACAGUAAGCUUCAUUGCCCAUUUAUAUCUCCAGCCUUUCGCAGAAUCCACUACCACCAUGAGUUAAAACAUUGACCUCCUCUCCAUUCCGACUUUAGCUAAUGAAUCUGUCAUGCCAUUCUUUUCACGAAUCACAUUUUGAAAAACACUGAACCAAUCCCUGUCACCAUCCUAACAAUGUCUGAAAAGAUGCCCCCAAGCUUCCAUGGUUUAUCCGAUUUGUUUUUACACCAACAAACUGAUGUUUGAAUCUGAUUCUACAAUCAGUCCGUUAGCAUAAAUCUUUUCGAUUGGAUGAAAAGAGUAAGGGCAAGAUUUAUUGCUGCAAUUUCCUCAACAAAUGGAAGCGAAGAUCCGAGAAGACCAUAGAACAUAGCGAGCAUCGCUCCUUUAUCAUCUCUUAAUACUCCACCAGAACCUGUCAUUCCUGGGCACUCUAUAGUCGCGCCAUCUGCAUUGAAUUUAAGGAAAUCAGGAGAAGGAGGUUCCCACUCCAUCGUCAAACGGUUAUCAAUCCUCCUCGUCAAAACUACACUAUCCUUAGGACUGCCCCACCAAGAAGAUUCUGUAAGCAUAAGUUCUCCUUGAUGGAUUUGAUCCAAAACAUCGACCGCACUUUAGUAAGAAAGAAAACCUCAUCACAAGACCAUGUUUUGUUAUCAAACACUGAUUCAUUCUCAGUUGUUAUUAAGCAAUUCGUUCAAAGUUAUAAUGAGCCAACGGAAGGAUUGAUCGGGUAAUUCUCAGUUUUUCAUUUAUUAAUUAUAGAGUUAUUCAGUCAUGGAGAUAAUACUAAAUGUACCAUGAAAUUAAUUGUUUGUAAGCCAAGUCAAGUUGGAUCCAAACAAGUCUUCCAGCAUUAAUCCAUCAUAAUUAUUUUUACAACACAAAAAACAAAGGAAGUUCCAUUACUUAUUCAUGACAUACAUAAAAAAUCACUCGACAUGAUAAAUUUAAGUCUUUGGCAUAAUACAAUUAUAACUAACUAAAACAUAGUAAUGGAUUUUGAAUAUAGGACACAAAUUUAUUAUUUCUAAAAUUAAUUUUAAGCCAAAAUCGGGCUUUUACUUGUCAAUAUGGG
rnacentral:lncRNA from 1 species